GUGAACGCUAGCGGUGCGCCUAACACAUGCAAGUCGCGCGAGGUUUCGAACCGAGCGGCGAACGGCUGCGUAACACGUCGGCAUCUGCCCCGGACUCAGGGAUAACCCGUCGAAAGACGGGCUAAUACCGGAUGGUCCCGCAAGGGUAAAGCUUUUGCGGUCCGGGAGGAGCCUGCGGCCUAUCAGCUAGUUGGUAAGGUAACGGCUUACCAAGGCAAUGACGGGUAGCUGGUCUGAGAGGACGACCAGCCAGAAUGGAACUGAGAAACGGUCCAUACUCCUACGGGAGGCAGCAGUGAGGAAUCUUCCACAAUGGGCGCAAGCCUGAUGGAGCGACACCGCGUGGUGGAUGAAGGUCUUUUAGAUCGUAAACACCUGUUCUGAGGGACGAAAUUUUUGACGGUACCUCAGGAGAAAGCAUCGGCUAACCCUGU
rnacentral:rRNA from 1 species